NNAAUUGAAGAGUUUGAUCAUGGCUCAGAUUGAACGCUGGCGGCAGGCUUAACACAUGCAAGUCGAGCGGUAGCACANGGGAGCUUGCUCCCUGGGUGACGAGCGGCGGACGGGUGAGUAAUGUCUGGGAAACUGCCUGAUGGAGGGGGAUAACUACUGGAAACGGUAGCUAAUACCGCAUAACGUCGCAAGACCAAAGAGGGGGACCUUCGGGCCUCUUGCCAUCAGAUGUGCCCAGAUGGGAUUAGCUAGUAGGUGGGGUAAUGGCUCACCUAGGCGACGAUCCCUAGCUNGUCUGAGAGGAUGACCAGCCACACUGGAACUGAGACACGGUCCAGACUCCUACGGGAGGCAGCAGUGGGGAAUAUUGCACAAUGGGCGCAAGCCUGAUGCAGCCAUGCNGNGUGUGUGAAGAAGGCCUUCGGGUUGUAAAGCACUUUCAGCGAGGAGGAAGGUGGUGAGCUUAAUACGCUCAUCAAUUGACGUUACUCGCAGAAGAAGCACCGGCUAACUCCGUGCCAGCAGCCGCGGUAAUACGGAGNGUGCAAGCGUUAAUCGGAAUUACUGGGCGUAAAGCGCACGCAGGCGGUUUGUUAAGUCAGAUGUGAAAUCCCCGGGCUCAACCUGGGNACUGCAUUUGAAACUGGCAAGCUAGAGUCUCGUAGAGGGGGGUAGAAUUCCAGGUGUAGCGGUGAAAUGCGUAGAGAUCUGGAGGAAUACCGGUGGCGAAGGCGGCCCCCUGGACGAAGACUGACGCUCAGGUGCNNAAGCGUGGGGAGCAAACAGGAUUAGAUACCCUGGUAGUCCACGCUGUAAACGAUGUCGAUUUGGAGGUUGUGCCCUUGAGGCGUGGCUUCCGGAGCUAACGCGUUAAAUCGACCGCCUGGGGAGUACGGCCGCAAGGUUAAAACUCAAAUGAAUUGACGGGGGCCCGCACAAGCGGUGGAGCAUGUGGUUUAAUUCGAUGCAACGCGAAGAACCUUACCUACUCUUGACAUCCAGAGAACUUUCCAGAGAUGGAUUGGUGCCUUCGGGAACUCUGAGACAGGUGCUGCAUGGCUGUCGUCAGCUCGUGUUGUGAAAUGUUGGGUUAAGUCCCGCAACGAGCGCAACCCUUAUCCUUUGUUGCNAGCNNUUCGGCCGGGAACUCAAAGGAGACUGCCAGUGAUAAACUGGAGGAAGGUGGGGAUGACGUCAAGUCAUCAUGGCCCUUACGAGUAGGGCUACACACGUGCUACAAUGGCAUAUACAAAGAGAAGCGACCUCGCGAGAGCAAGCGGACCUCAUAAAGUAUGUCGUAGUCCGGAUUGGAGUCUGCAACUCGACUCCAUGAAGUCGGAAUCGCUAGUAAUCGUAGAUCAGAAUGCUACGGUGAAUACGUUCCCGGGCCUUGUACACACCGCCCGUCACACCAUGGGAGUGGGUUGCAAAAGAAGUAGGUAGCUUAACCUUCGGGAGGGCGCUUACCACUUUGUGAUUCAUGACNGGGGNNNNNNNGUAACAAGGUAACCGNNNNNGAACCUGNNNNNNGAUCACCUCCUUA
rnacentral:rRNA from 1 species